GAGGCGAACCGGGGGAACUGAAACAUCUAAGUACCCCGAGGAAAAGAAAUCAACCGAGAUUCCGAAAGUAGCGGCGAGCGAAAUUGGACUAGCCCUUAAGCUUUACACGCGUUAGACGAACGGUCUGGAAAGUCCGACGAUACAGGGUGAUAGUCCCGUAGUUGACGACGUGUGUUCAGUGAAAUCGAGUAGGGCGGGACACGUGAUAUCCUGUCUGAAUAUGGGGGGACCAUCCUCCAAGGCUAAAUACUACUGACUGACCGAUAGUGAACCAGUACCGUGAGGGAAAGGCGAAAAGAACCCCUGUGAGGGGAGUGAAAUAGAACCUGAAACCGUGUACGUACAAGCAGUAGGAGCAGGCUUUGUCCUGUGACUGCGUACCUUUUGUAUAAUGGGUCAGCGACUUAUAUUCAGUGGCAAGGUUAACCAUCUAGGGGAGCCGUAGGGAAACCGAGUCUUAACUGGGCGUUCAGUCUCUGGAUAUAGACCCGAAACCAGGUGAUCUAGCCAUGGGCAGGUUGAAGGUUGAGUAACAUCAACUGGAGGACCGAACCGACUAAUGUUGAAAAAUUAGCGGAUGACUUGUGGCUAGGGGUGAAAGGCCAAUCAAACCUGGAGAUAGCUGGUUCUCCCCGAAAGCUAUUUAGGUAGCGCCUCGGACGAAUACUACUGGGGGUAGAGCACUGUUAAGGCUAGGGGGUCAUCCCGACUUACCAACCCUUUGCAAACUCCGAAUACCAGUAAGUACUAUCCGGGAGACACACGGCGGGUGCUAACGUCCGUCGUGGAGAGGGAAACAACCCAGACCGCCAGCUAAGGUCCCAAAUUACUACUAAGUGGGAAACGAUGUGGGAAGGCUCAGACAGCCAGGAUGUUGGCUUAGAAGCAGCCAUCAUUUAAAGAAAGCGUAAUAGCUCACUGGUCGAGUCGGCCUGCGCGGAAGAUGUAACGGGGCUAAGUAGUAAACCGAAGCUGCGGCAAUAUACUUUUGUAUAUUGGGUAGGGGAGCGUUCUGUAAGCGGUUGAAGGUGUGUGGUAACGCAUGCUGGACGUAU
rnacentral:rRNA from 1 species